rnacentral:rRNA from 1 species
AUUGAACGCUGGCGGCAUGCUUUACACAUGCCAGUCGAACGGCAGCGCGGGCUUCGGCCUGGCGGCGAGUGGCGAACGGGUGAGUAAUACAUCGGAACGUGCCCAGUAGUGGGGGAUAGCCCGGCGAAAGCCGGAUUAAUACCGCAUACGACCUGAGGGUGAAAGCGGGGGAUCUUCGGACCUCGCGCUAUUGGAGCGGCCGAUGGCAGAUUAGCUAGUUGGUGGGGUAAAGGCCUACCAAGGCGACGAUCUGUAGCUGGUCUGAGAGGACGACCAGCCACACUGGGACUGAGACACGGCCCAGACUCCUACGGGAGGCAGCAGUGGGGAAUUUUGGACAAUGGGCGAAAGCCUGAUCCAGCAAUGCCGCGUGUGUGAUGAAGGCCUUCGGGUUGUAAAGCAUUUUUGGCGGGAACGAAAAGGACUGUGCCAAUACCACGGUUCGAUGACGGUACCCGCAGAAUAAGCACCGGCUAACUACGUG